rnacentral:rRNA from 1 species
GAUGAACGCUGGCGGCGUGCCUAAUACAUGCAAGUCGAGCGAACAGACGAGGAGCUUGCUCCUCUGACGUUAGCGGCGGACGGGUGAGUAACACGUGGAUAACCUACCUAUAAGACUGGGAUAACUUCGGGAAACCGGAGCUAAUACCGGAUAAUAUAUUGAACCGCAUGGUUCAAUGGUGAAAGACGGUUUUGCUGUCACUUAUAGAUGGAUCCGCGCCGCAUUAGCUAGUUGGUAAGGUAACGGCUUACCAAGGCAACGAUGCGUAGCCGACCUGAGAGGGUGAUCGGCCACACUGGAACUGAGACACGGUCCAGACUCCUACGGGAGGCAGCAGUAGGGAAUCUUCCGCAAUGGGCGAAAGCCUGACGGAGCAACGCCGCGUGAGUGAUGAAGGUCUUCGGAUCGUAAAACUCUGUUAUUAGGGUAGAACAAAUGUGUAAGUAACUAUGCACGUCUUGACGGUACCUAAUCAGAAAGCCACGGCUAACUACGUG